UGGGCUUUCAAACAUGCAGCAUCUCUGUCGUCUACUUGGGGGCCUUUUUAUUUCCUGUGUCUGUGGUUCCACUGAUUCUUUUUAUGUGACUCAGUUUCCAUCUGAAGUCGAGCUGACUGAAGGAAAAGAAAUUCAGAUCAUCUGCAGCUGGAACAUCACUGUUCAAGGAGCAAAAGUGAAAUGGUUUAAAAACAAUCAGAAACUUGAAUUGAAUCAAAGUGACAGAUUCACAGAAACCUGCAAAAACAAGAACAGUACAACAUUAAUGAUAAAAAAAGCUGAGAGAAGUGAUGAAGGUCUUUAUAUUUGUGAAAUUACACAAGACAUACCUCAUCUGCUGAAGGUAAACGGAACCGGGACAAACGUAUACGAGAGACGAUAUGUGCUUACUACUGAGGGACCCAUUUUAUUGACCUCACCUCGUAUAGAAC